UCUUUGGUAAAUACUCUAAAGGCACCAGAUCCUGUCUGAUCUUGGAAGCUAAGCAAGGUCAGCUCUUGUUAGUACUCGGAUAGGAGGCUUCCAAUGAAUAUAGGUCAUAUUUUCAAAGAA
rnacentral:rRNA from 11 species